GCGCCCAUGGCUUAACGGUUAUCGCGCUUGCCUUCUACGCAAAAGGCCAGGGCUCGAUUCCUGGCCGCG
rnacentral:tRNA from 1 species